rnacentral:tRNA from 1 species
GGCUUGGUGGCCAAGUGGUAAGGCACGGGUCUGCAAAACCCUUACCGCGGGUUCGAUUCCCGCCCAAGCCU